rnacentral:lncRNA from 1 species
CAGGUGGCGCGAGUGUCUUCGUGAGGACGAAAUAUUUGUCAUUUGUUUCCGAGACGCUGACCAAAAGUGUAUUCCAAAUUCAUAACGCAAUUUUGGCAUAUAGUUUCACUUGGCCAAAUAAUGUAACGACGUGGGUCGAAACUGUUGUCCAUUUUGUCGAAAUGUCGGUCAUUGUUAGCUGUACGUCUCAUCUCGUGCAGAAACACUUCAGAGCUAGUAAAAUCAGAGAUGGAGAUCACUUUGCUCAACUGUUGUAGAAGUUGAGAACAUGACAAAGUCUGAGCUUCAUGGCAGUCAUAUCAUUAAUUUUGUUUUUGUUGCAGCCAGCUGGGGAAAGGUGUGGUCGAGUCCUGUUGAGCUGCAGGUGCUGCAUGCAGUUUAUCAAGCUGGUGUUAUCCCAUCCCUAGUGUUACUGCAGGAAAACUUCUUGAAUUGGAGUUCAUGGUCGGUUUGAGCUGUUUACGGUGUUGCUGUUUGGACUACAGUGGUUUUGCAGUCCCUUCCAGUUGAGAGAUGCUCUGAAAUGGAUUCUUGUUCACACUUGCAGUUCAACAUCACACUUAAAUUUGUCAUUUGCCUAUAUUUGUGUCCGUGCAGUAUAUGCCGUGUUGAAAAGUUGGGUUAGUCAAUGUUGCCUGAUGGCUGUCGGUCUUGUUUUAUCGGCUGCAUUUUGUCGAUAUGUCGUCUCUUGUUACCUGUACAGGUGUUGAGGUAAUGCUUGGUGUUUCGUUCAGUUACAGGUGCAUAUCUGGGCUCCCUUCUUCAGUGGCCCCGUUUCCCUAAAUAACCACUAACCAACGCCCGCCGGUGGUCACUCACUCGCUGCGACAACCAGGAGGAAGGGAGAUGUUUGGUCGAACGGGGACUUGCAAGGCGCAUGAUUCGAUGAAAUCUGUUGAAGGGUCAUGAGUCUAAGCCGGAAGCCUACCAUGAUGCAUUGCUCUCAUAAUAACUGCUCUUCAGCUCUCUUCGCUCUUUUUCCGGGUUCUCUUAACCACGGCCGGGUAAUCUCCCUGGUAGAGUCAGUCGGGCAGUGUCUCCCCCUGCUUGACUGGCUGCAGUUUUUACCGGACGGUUUGUUUAAUAAAUAAAACAAGUAUAAAAAACCAUAUAAUGUUUUCAUUUUAUAAAUUGUUAUUCAUUAAUUAAAUAUGUAUAGAUAACAACUUGAUUAACAAGCAUAUUUAUACAACAUUGUUUAUGAAACAGACCGUCCGGCACAAACUCUUAGUUAGUACUAUUGCUCAAAAACUGAUUCUCUUGAAUCAGCAGACUCGAGAGUUUAUAGUGCCGUCAAGAAGCUGUGUUGUGUUUGUUGAUCGUCUCCACCAUGCACGCGAUAAUCAAGACCAGCAACGUCUUGAUCAAGAAGAAGAAAAGAACGGAGAAGCAAAGAACGACGAUGUAAAUAGCGGGAACAGUUUUCCAUACUGGUACGCUGUAUGACGUCGAGCAUUGCCAAAAUGGAAGUGCUCUUUGAAGAACUGAGCGUCUAAAUCUUCUUCAGUCAGAUGAAGCUAACGGAUUCGGAAAUCGUCGAAGAAGCAGAGGACAUCACAGCUGGAAAAAAAAAACGCGAGUCAAACUGACAAACUCCUGUGGUUAAGUUCUGCAGCUACUCUCAAAAUAUUUUGUCUUGUUUGCUCGUGUUGAUUGUAGACUACUUUUAAAUUAUCUACCAGUGAAGCCCUAAUAAGAGGUCCAAGAGAAAUUUAUUCGGGUCAACUGAUACCAUACCACGUACUAAAUCGUUAAUGGUUUUCAGGUAAAAAAUAACCAUGAGAAUAUGGGGUCGCAGAAAUAGAUGUCAACUGGUGGAAAAUAAGAAGGGGUACGGAUGCGGUAUUUUUCUUUUCUUUUUUAAAAAAUACUGUCCGAUUUUUAAAGAUUUCGUGAGGAACAUCCAAUCUGUCGAUCGCGGUCGCUAACCAAUUGGUAGAAAAACAGCACCAAUAAUGGUCGAACUCGGAUGUGCUUUUUCGAGAUUUUAACACAAAUUGCAUUUUAUACAUAAAAAAAUUUAUCAUAAAGCUACAAUGUUACAGCAUUACCCGUACUAUGGCUCGUCCCGGUUUGUAUUGCUUUGUAUAAUCUUUAGUUGAACGCUAAAUAUAUUAGAGGCUAGCUAAGAGAAUUUGGCUAGAUCUUUACAGGAUUAGUGAAUGUGAUUUUUAAAAGAAAUUGUGCCUGUUGUACAUCGAUAUUAUUGGCCUUGAUUCUUAAAGGUGGCUUGGCAAAACUUUCGACGGUUAAACUCUAUUUAAUAAAUAGAUAACAUAACAUUUAGCUAAUGACCUUGUAUUCUUGACUAAAUAUUUUCAGGCAACUUUUGAAAUUUUUGUGGGCACUGAUUUGCAGAGUGCUCGUGACCAACAGAUAAAAUGGCCCAAUCCAUAUUGCAAAUUUGCAAGCUGUCUUCCAAAACCAUCCAAAACCAAGGAAUUUCUAUUUGCAAGUCUAAUUAGGUAGAAAACCUUUCUGAAAAGUUUAGGAGCCAUUGUUAAUUUCAAUUG